GCGGGGGUUGUAGAGCCUGGCCAAAUAGGCUAAAAAGAAGAUUGGAGACGCGGGACUUAAGAUCCCGUCCCUCAGGGGUCCGUGGGUUCAAAUCCCACCCCCCGCA
rnacentral:tRNA from 1 species